rnacentral:rRNA from 1 species
AUGAGUAAUGAAGCCUUUUUAAUUUGCUCCUGGAACGUUCGUGGUCUUGGCGAUAACGAUAAAUGCUCCGACGUACUCUCUGAGCUGGUGACGACUAAGCCGCAUAUAACCCUCUUGCAAGAAUCAAAACUCGACACACUCCUUGCCUCUAAACUAAAAUCCUUUCAACCACGAACACUUGAUCAAGUCUUCUCCCUGCCAGCGGUCGGGACCGCGGGGGGUACUAUCUCUCCCUUUAACUCAAACUUUUUCCAGCCCGUCUCUUUCUCACAUCUAACCUUCUCCUCCACCCUAAUUAUACAAUCAACUGCGUGUUCCCAACACAUUGCCAUCACCAACAUCUACGCCCCAUCAUCACGAUCACUCAAGAAAGAUUUCUUAAAUGAGCUCUCAUCUAUCGCACAACCCGAUGACACCCCCUGGAUCAUUGUUGGUGACUUCAACCUCGUCCGCUUCCCCUCUGACAAAAACAACACCGCCUUUCACCACGCCGAAGCAAAUGCCUUUAACCAAACCUUAGAUGAUCUAGCGCUCAUCGAACUGCCCCUACUUGAUCGCAGGUUCACCUGGUCGAACAAUCGAGCAAAUCCCACCCUAGAGCGGCUAGAUCAUGUCUUCUUCAACCUUGCUUGGGCAGACGCCUUCCCUAGCACCUCGCUCUCCUCUCGCACACGAUUCACGUCUGAUCACGUUCCACUUCUCAUCCACGUCACCACCACCAUCCCACACUCUAAUUUUUUCAAAUUUGAGCCUGGCUGGGGUAGCCUCCAGCCCUGUAGAGACAUCAUCAACCAAAUUUGGGUCGCACAGCCCUUUUUGCCACCCAACCACUACAAAAAAGACACAUCCGUGACAUUUUGGGCCGAACAAAUUUUUUUCUGUCAUACAUAUGAUACUUCUAUGAUGAUAAUUGUGACAAAACCCGGUAUCAUCAUAGAUGUGGCGGGCUCCUACUUCUAUGACAAAAAAUCAUGA